AAACAUCUUUGGUAUGUAUUUCUGGAUUUAAUUUGACUGUGUCCAUUUUAAUUCAGUUGUCUUGGAAUUUUUUAAAAAGUUGUAUAUUGGGUCCUGAGGUUGAACUAAAUUUCUCUUCAAAAACACUCAAGCUACGUUAUUAUAAAUACUUAAUAAUGCAACAAAUACAUAAUAAAAAUAGUCAUUUUUAGAAAAACUAUAAAAAUGUAUACUGAUCAAUAUAUGCACCUAUUUCAAUCUUUGUCCUUGUUUUAAUUGAAGUUAUGGAAUUGUUUGUAAAUAUUUU